ACAUGAAACAGAGUUGGCCAGGAAAAAGAAGUCCCUGUAAAGCUCAUGUCAGAGAGAGAGAGAGAAGGAAGAAGCAUGGAUGGGCCUUAAAGAUAUUCUAGGAAGAUGUGGCCAAGGAGAAACAACUUCCUAUUCCUAUCCUGUAGCCUGCCAAGCCUGAGAAGCUACCUCCCUGAAAAUCUUCCUAGGACUCCUCAGCUUCCUCAAUGCUACCAAAUACCCACUAUCUCCAUAGACACACACAAAGGACAGAAGUAAAAGGAGCCACGAAGAUGAUGGAAGUCGGUUACCACAUCGUCCCUAACUGUAGGGGUUGGUUAGCUGUACAUGUCAAUAGUUCUAAUGAGGGCUGUGGAGUAAUUUGUUAAAUAACCGAGUGAGCAUGCCAGUCAGAAGCUGCUGGAUGAGAGCGCAGCAUCAAUUAGAGACAAAGGAAAUCGCUUGCUUUUCUCUGCAGCGAGCGGGCCCUUGGAGGCGCGGCACUAGCUGGUCCAGAAAAA
rnacentral:lncRNA from 1 species